GGUUAGUGCAGUGAAUAAGGUAGUAAGCAAGCUGAAAGAUUUAUCUGAUCUUGCCGAUGAGUCGUCAUUGACCUAGUGUGACUCUGCCGAUAUAGAUUAGGCGCACUAACC
ncrna:unclassified sequences Methylophilales-1 RNA